UGAGCCACAUGCCUGUGCAUGUUGGGAGGAAGUACCAGAAAUUGGAAGACCUUUAUACUUAUCCAUGCAAAUCCUCUCUCAUUAACAUAUUUUUGGCUUCUAAUCUUUCAGACAUCCACUUUUGGCCUGUUUCGGAUAUCACACUGAAAUGUGUGAGACUUCCUUUUGGCAGAAAGCAUGCCGUAUUUCCAAUGCGACAUCUGCAGUGAUUUCUUACACUUCUAUUUACUAUUUUUCUGUUUCUGUUUAACCGUUCAAUGUUUGCUUUUAUUUCUUGCCAUUUAAAAAAAUUCAUUCGCUUUGCUUGUACUAAUGUGAGAAAUGUAUUCCUGAUCUCUUAAUUAUGUCAAAAUCGGAAUCAAUUGUACGUUCACAACUUUGUAUAUGCUCGACUUGUAAAACAGGCCGAUAUAUUCAGUUGUGUAUGUUCGUUGUCUUUCCUUUGAUGUCUUUGAGCUAUGGGAGGAUACUGUACUUCACUUUUUCCUUUAAGUUGACAGGUUUGCCGUCGUAGAGUUCCCCGAGGAGGACUGCAGCUUGGCACUUGUUCACGGUUCGUGGUUGAAUCCAAAAAGAAAUAGGACAUAUUGGCCUACUUUGAAAAAUUCAUCGCAGCGGCGUAGAGCCACUGUUGAGGGUGCUGCACCAUCUCCUAGCUAGACACAAGCCAACUGUGUGGCGAAAUCCUGGGCUGACACUUACGAAAAGGCAUGUGAGAAGCAGAAUUUCCUGCAAUAUCAUUCGGACAUGAGCUGCGAAGAGGAACUGGGAUGCGGAAAAAGAAAAAAAUGAAGUGCCUUGGCUUCUGAUUACAGCAGUGAGCAAGACACGACUGACGACUCGGGUGAUGACUCAAACUAUCGCCCUCCAAGGCCGCCAACACCACCUCAACUGGUAACAAACAUUGGUGGCUACGACUCAGCUGCUGCCCACGAGUCAUUCAAGAUGCCUGGACGACACCGAAAGAAACGCUCUGCAGGUGCAUCUGCGAGUCCUAGGCCUUCGUUCGGAAGAGCUGGUGGAUUCGAAACCGAAAGUGUGCCAUCGAGCCUUCAUGCUGGCCCAUCUACCACUUCCUCAGGAUCAAGAACGGAUCCGCAAGUGCUUGGUAUGAUGUCAAUGUUUGACCUCUCAUGUUUGCUUUAAAUGGCGUGGUUGGUAGAUCUUGUCAACCAGAAUUUUGAGCAGUGUGACACAGCACACAGAUAAGACGCAUAGGAUGAAAUGCCGCCUGGGCUUGUUUUGUGUCAUGUGGCACUGUUCAACAUUCUGCUGUUUGUAAUGAGCGAUUUCUUGCCAGCAUACUUCUUCACUUUUUCAAUACACAUGCAUUGCUAAAUGAGGCACUGCUGACUUUCAAUAGUUCUGUAUGAGCAUUGCAGAUAUGUUGACA
rnacentral:lncRNA from 1 species